rnacentral:lncRNA from 1 species
GUAAGAAGUUGGGUGUGGUAGUGUGCCUCUCUGUAAAAAGCAAAGCAGCACUCCUAAGGCCAGAUGGGAAGCAGGACAGAAGGAUCACCUGGAAGCUCGGGGAACACUGAGAAACAGACUUGAGAGGAAUAAAACGAAGAAGUAAAGAGUCUCAUGUGAGACUUUUCUCCAGCCACCCUGAAAAGAGAACAGCCCUUUCAGCCUGAGGCAGAGGCUGCCCUUGAACUCACUGUGUAGCCACGGUUGGCUAUGAACUCCUGGUUUUUCUGACUUUGUCUCCCCAGUGCUGGGAUUACAAGAGCAUGCCUUCACACCUAGCCAAGAAAUUAAUUUAUAUAUCAAUAUGAAGAGGUCCUAAAAUUAUAAGUAGAAAAAUGAAGUUGCAGAACAUUCUAUAUAGUACAGUGACUUUUACUUCAGCUGUUUAAACAAUGCUUUGUAUCACUUAUAUCAUUCACAGCAUUUAUAUCACUAUACAGCCUGGAAAUGGGUGGGGCCAGAUGUGCUGUAGUCCCACCCCUUAGGAGAUGGAGACAGGAGAAUCGGGAGCUGAGGUCAACCAUGGAUGUAUGUGGAAUUCAAUGCCAGCCUGGGCUGCAAGAGGUCACAACCUCCAUUAAAGCAUGAGCCAGAAGGCUGCACAUGAAGAGAGAAACUCCAAUUGUAUUUUUCCCAGGCAUGGAGGACUGAGGAGUGUGGGGAGUGGGGGUGAGGAGUAUUACUGUGGAUGGAACGCAAGUCCUCCUGCAGGCUAUGCCCUAUUCCUGUUCCGCUGGACUUCCUAGUCAACCCCUCCCCCCCAGUUGUAUCUUUGUGCUUGAUUCCUUCCUCCUUUCCUCCCUCCCUCCCUCCCUCCUUCCUUCCUUUCUUGAUUCUUUCCUCCCCUUCUUCCUUCCAGUUUUGAAUUUCUUUGUAAAUUUCAUUUUUAUUUUUAUGUGUAUAGGUGUUUUGUCUGCAGGCUUAUCUGUGUACCAUGUGCAUGCCUGAUGCCUCUGGGGGCCAGAAGAAGGCACCAAAUCCCCUGAAACUGAAGUCACAAUGGCUGUGAGCCAACAUGCAGGUUUUGGGAAUUGAACUCAGAUACUCUGAAAGAGAAGUCAGUGCUCUUAACCACUUAGUCAUAUCUCCAGCCACAAUGUUUAAACACUCACAACUGUGUGUGUGUGUGUGUGUGUGUGUGUGUGUGUGUGUGUGUGUGUGUCCAGGUGUAGUGGCUCACUCCUGAAAUUCCAGUACACAGGAGACAGAGGCAGGAAAAUCACUACAAGUUUAAGGCCAUUCUGUAUAACAAUUUUAGUUCAUUCAAGGCUACAUACUGAGACCCUAUCUUAAUAAGUAAAUAAAUAAAUAAAUGUAGCACACACAACAAAAUAGGUAUUUUUUUAAAAAGUUCAUUCAAAUUGGUUUAUUAUAAAUCCUGCAUGUUUUCUGGAUGUUCAAAAUAUUUUAUAAAUAUUUUGAAUAAAAAUAUACUUUUGCUUCAGAAUACUACGCAGGUAGAAUUUCUAACAAUUAAAUUGAUUACAUUGACAUUAAAGUUAAAUUUAAAGUGCAGUUCUUGGUAGUUCUAGCCUCCUUUCUUGUGCUCGGUAGCUUCAUUCUCUCUCUCUCUCUCUCUCUCUCUCUCUCUCUCUCUCUCUCUCUCUCUUUAUCUCUCUCCCUUGAAGCAAAACCCAUAGAGGAACACUGUCUACUGGCUUUCUCAGACAAUUUUCUUUUUUGGGCUGGGGAUAGUUCAAGAUAGGGUUUCUCUGUAUAGCCCAGGCUGUCCAGGUAGACCAGGAUGGCCUCAAACUCACAGAGAUCUGCCUGCCUCUGCCUCCCAUGUGCUGGGAUUAAAGGCGUGGCCUUGUGUGUUUUUUUGGUUUUUUUGUUUUGUUUUGUUUGUUUUUUUCCUUUGGGACAGGAUAUCACUAUGUAGCUCCGGCUGUCCUAGAACUUGGUGUGGGAUAAUGCUCUCGUACACUGUAAAGAUUUGUCACUCAUAUUGAUUUAAAUAAAAAUGCUGAUUGGCCAGUAGUCAAGCAGGAAGUACAGGCAGGGUGACCAGAAGAGAAUUCUGGGAAAAGGAGAGGUAGAGACACAUUCGACAGCCAGAUGCAGAAGAAGCAACAUGAGAAUGCCUUACUGAGAAAAGGUACCAAGCUGUCAGGCUAAACAUAGAUAAAAAAAAAUAUGGGUUGGUUUAAGUUGUAAGGGCUUGUUAGUAAUAAGCCUGAGCAAUAGGCCAAACAUAUAUCGUUUUAUUCAAGACAGAGUUUCUCUGUGGCUUUGGAGGCUGUCCUGGAACUAGCUCUUAUAGACCAGGCUGGUCUUGAACUCACAGAGAUCCACCUGCCUCUGCCUUCCGAGUGCUGGGACUAAAGGUGUGCACCACCACCACCCAACUAAACAGUUUGUAAUUAAUAUAAGCUUCUGUGUGUCUAUUUGGAACUGAAUGACUGCAGGAUGGGGUGGAACAGAAACCUGUGUCUAUAAGAACUUCCUAUGUAGACUAGGCUGGCCUCAAACUCACAGAGAUCCACCUGUCUCUGCUUCCUGAGUACUGAGAUUAAGUGUGUACCACCAUACCUAGUUUUCUUACACAGCUAGCUCAACCCAGGGAUGCUACCACCCACAGUGAGCUGGUCCCUCCUACAUCAAUGGGCAAUGAAAAAUACCUUAUGGACAAGCCCACGGGCCAAUCUAUUGAAAGAAAUUCUUCAAUUUGGGGGCGGGUCCCUCUUUCCAGGUGUGUCAAGCUGACCACCAAGAUUAGGCAUCACACUUUGUUUUUCUGUUUCCUUCCUUUGUAUUUUUGGUUAGUUGGUUUGGGAGUUGGUGUUAGAGAUCAAACCCAAGACCUAAUGCUGAGCUUCACCAGUGAGCUGUACCCCAAACCCUUGUUUCUCAGGUUUUUCUUUAAUCCAGAAAGUGAGUAUUAGUGUUAGUAACAUGUAAAUGCAGACCAGAUAUUCAUCAAACAAGGAAUAUAGCUAUAAGAACCUUAAGUUGAGUUAAGGGAGAUUUUCCCAAAUUAUUGCAAAGG